AAGCUUAAUUUGUAUCCUACCGCA
rnacentral:misc_RNA from 1 species